UCUGCAGAAGGUUCCUGGACCCUGCAGAAAGCCUAAGACAUUGAUCAUAAAGGCUGAAAUACAUAAUACUAAUGAGGACUGAAACACUACCACUGCAGAUUGAACUAGUUAUUAAAUAAACUGCAGUUCAAUGCAGUCACCUUUCAUUACCCAUUUUAUUCAUUCACCAUAGUUAGACCGAUAAGUAGCUGUCUUCUUUACCCAUUGGCUACAGUCUUCUAAUAGUGAGUUGCCAGUGGGUCAGCAAAUAAUUUAAAGAAUGUGAACUUGUGGCUUAACAUUUCUAAUGUAUGUUGAUACGUUUUUGCAUGUUUUUCUACGUAAUAAUGAACAUGUGUUGUCUUUUCAAAUCCACUGGGGAAAAAAAACUUUGUCAAAUAUUACAGUUUGAAAUCCUCCAGUUUGACUCAUUUAUCAUGAUGUCACGAUGUCACCUACAGUAUGAGUAAAAAGUUACACAGUCAUUUUGUUAACUGCACUACAAUGUACUUCGCUUUCUUUUGUUCAUGUCAUUGUUAUAUGUGCACAUCGCUGUUAUUGAUAUUUAUAACUUAGGUUGCUUUAAAACUGGCAAACUUGUCUUCAGCCCAAACUACGCUGAAUCCAUGAAAUCACUCAGCCGUAAUCUGAUUUUACACAAAUCCCUUACUCACUGUAGAGACACAAAGGGCUCUUUAAAUGACUUCUUUCACACAAGCAGUAGUACUCCUCAACACGGAAACACAGUUUGAUGUGCAAAAUCAGGGGACUCCCCUUUAAACCAUCUUUGUUACCAAAGGCAGGAAAUGCAUGCAUGUGGAUGUCUUUAGGACAUCAUUAAUGACAUUUUUACAUUGUUAGUGAAAGAAACGUGGACACGCCAGCCUCAUUGAUGUAUGGGCAGCACAAUAUGUUUUAGCUCGGAGUGUAAUGGAAAAAAUGGGCUUGUUUUUGAGCUUCUUUGCAGCCCACUCGGGUUGGGCUCCCCUUGGUCAUGGUUACCUUUCUCGCAGUUAUUCUCCAUUUCCGCCAUGCAUGUCAAAACAGGCACCAACCUUGUUUCCAGGCAACAGUGGUCCACAGCUCUUUGAUGAGAAAAGCAUGACCACAGAUUGGAAAACUCGUCAGAGCAGCGAGCUUAGGACAAAGGGGGGCAGUCAAAUUCAAGCUGAAUAUUCAAAAAAGCAAACCCACUGUGAAAGUGGCCAAAGAAAUGUUGGCUCUAAGUGGUAGCUUAAAAUGCUGACGUCUUGUGCCAGCCGAUGGCUCUGGUCAUUUCUAUGGCCACCACUCAGUGUGCUGUAUAUGUUGCUGAUGUCAAACUAUAACAGUGUUGCAUUCACUCAGCGAUGGGAAAAGUAGAAACCCUGUCACUGCAUAAAGUAAUGACCCCUCUCUUUCAACUAGAUAUACAGUAUGUCACUACAUACACCAUACACCCCUUAUACCAAAUCAGUCCCCUUGAACAAUAGGGUGAACCUGAAUGCAGUGUCCAUUGAAAGAAGGCUCACCAUGUCCGCUUUAACUACAGGAAGUCACUGCCAGCACAUGUAGCAGCUAGCAACAGGGCCAGAAAUAGCACAGCACUGGGUUUCUAUUUUUCCCAUCGCUGAGUGUAUAUCUACUUAGUGUUAUUCUUACAGUAGUUUGUAUAUGAGGAGAUUGGCGAAAUUUUCCUGAAAUGAGCUGGCUUUAAAAGCUGUGACCACACACACAGGUUUUUCUUUAAGUUAAUCAGGCUGAUUAGACCUUUUCCCAGGACUGUGUGGGUGUGUAUGGGCUGUUUGAUUGACAACUUUGUGAGUCUUCUGCUGCUUUGU